rnacentral:rRNA from 1 species
UACGGAGGAUCCAAGCGUUAUCCGGAUUUAUUGGGUUAAGGGUGCGUAGGCGGCCUGUUAAGUCAGGGGUGAAAGACGGUAGCUCAACUAUCGCAGUGCCCUUGAUACUGAUGGGCUUGAAUUGACUAGAGGUAGGCGGAAUGUGACAAGUAGCGGUGAAAUGCAUAGAUAUGUCACAGAACACCGAUUGCGAAGGCAGCUUACUAUGGUCUUAUUGACGCUGAGCACGAAAGCGUGGGGAUCAAACAGG